GAUGAACGCUGGCGGCGUGCUUAACACAUGCAAGUCGAACGAAGACAUCUGAGUGCUUGCACUUGGAUGGACUGAGUGGCGGACGGGUGAGUAACGCGUGGGUAACCUGCCUUAUACAGGGGGAUAACAGUUGGAAACGACUGCUAAUACCGCAUAAGCGCACAGUACCACAUGGUACAGUGUGAAAAACUCCGGUGGUAUGAGAUGGACCCGCGUCUGAUUAGCUAGUUGGUGGGUAACGGCCCGACCAAGGCGAUGAUCAGUAGCCGACCUGAGAGGUGACCGGCACAUUGGGACUGAGACACGGCCCAGACUCCUACGGGAGCAGCAGUGGGGAUAUUGCACAAUGGAGGAAACUCUGAUGCAGCGACGCCGCGUGAGUGAAGAAGU
rnacentral:rRNA from 1 species